UAUUCAAUCUUUUAAACUCUCACGGACUCCUUGCUCAUCUUGAUCUCUAUUCCGUGUAUCAGGCGACGUCUCACUCUAACUGAUCUCGCACGAACGUAAAUGCAUGCUGCUUGCUGUCCACAUCUAAUCGCACCCUGGUGAUUGCUUAGAGGUUGAAUCCAGUGCUCUCCUAAAUCCGAACUGUGCACACACCAGUCAUCCGCAAACCACGUCAAGAUCGUGCAUGGACCAAGCCGCACCCCAGAGUUGCGUACCCAUGUGCUGUGAAGACCGACCUCCACUUGAAACCAGCGCUCCACUCCAAGCCUUCAAACCGGACCCACUUGAAACCACCAAAUCCCACACGCC
rnacentral:lncRNA from 1 species